AAUACCCAAAUUCUAAUUUCAUUCGAUCAGAUCUCAUUCGUCACCCUCAAAACCCUAGCUGCGCAUACACAUCUUCUCCAAUAAAUCCACAGAUCCAGCCGCUACAAUCCUUUCUUUCGCUAAUUCAUAUUCUGAUUGUUAUUUUAUAUAUCUUAGAUCGUUCUUUCCAAUUUUUAACCACAAAUCACUUCCUUUCUAAAAACCCUAGGUAUUAGAAGCGUUUUCAUUCUGAUUGAAUCAUAUACAAUUCAGACAAUACAAUCAAUCAGAUUCAUAAAAGAUAGGUUGGUUUUAGUCGAUGCUAAAUGGAGACGAGAGGUGUCCAAGAUAUAGACCAUAAAUAUUUAACAUAGAGUCGUGGAAAAUGGAGACGGUAGCCUGUUUGGUGCGGUCGUGGUUCAGAAUAUGAUGAGAUUGUUGAGUUGGCCUUUUCAAUGGGAAGAAUCGGUUCCUUGGUGUCAUGUUCAAGCACGACUUUAUGCUGAUUCAGUAUACCCCUGCUAUUGAUACAUGGAGCUUGCUAAGGAGAAGACCAAUUGAUACAUAUGGAGACAAAGUUGGGAUACUUAUGAAACUGAACUAAAAAAUUGUGGUGGAGAAGGGAAAGAGGAUACUUAAGAGAUUCAAAGUGUUAUUUAUGUACUUUUGUUUAUUGUAAAUUAAAUUUUCCUAGCCCGGGAAGUUCCCGUGUUUGAAAAUCAUGUUUUUGAUGGGGGGUAUUGUUGUAUGUCAAGAUAGUAGAUAAAUACAAAGCAUGAGUGGAAGUCUUUUGCUUUUCAUUGUCAGGGUGGCUUAAUUUGUGAGAUUUUGAUUUCAGUUUUCA